rnacentral:rRNA from 1 species
AUGAGCUACCCGCCGCCGGGCACCGCGUACCCUCCGCCGGGCCAGCAGCAGCCGUACCCGCCGCCGGGCAACGGUUACGGCUACCCUCCUCCGGGCCAGGAGCAGCAGCAGCAGGCCUACCCUCCGCCGGCGUACGGCGCGCCGCCGCCUGUCGCCGCCGACUACUACCAGCCCAAGGACGGCGGCGCGUACCCGCAGCAGCAGCAGCAGGCGUACGGCGCGCCGCCGCCCGUCGCCGCCAACUACUACCCGCCGCCGCAGCAGCAGCAGGCCCCGCCGCCGCCGCCGGAGGCGCAGAGCCGCGGCAGUGACGGCUUCUGGAAAGGAUGCUGCGCCGCAAUCUGCUGCUGCUGCCUGCUCGACAUGUGCCUCUGA